rnacentral:rRNA from 1 species
UUCCGCAAGGAAGUAAGAUCCCUGAAAGAUGAUCAGGUUGAUAGGUCUGAGGUGGAAGUGUGGCGACACAUGGAGCUGACAGAUACUAAUCGAUCGAGGACUUAACCUAAUUUCUA